rnacentral:rRNA from 1 species
AUGAACGCUGGCGGCGUGCCUAAUCCAUGCCAGUCGAGCGAACAGACGAGGAGCUUGCUCCUCUGACGUUAGCGGCGGACGGGUGAGUAACACGUGGAUAACCUACCUAUAAGACUGGGAUAACUUCGGGAAACCGGAGCUAAUACCGGAUAAUAUAUUGAACCGCAUGGUUCAAUAGUGAAAGACGGUUUUGCUGUCACUUAUAGAUGGAUCCGCGCCGCAUUAGCUAGUUGGUAAGGUAACGGCUUACCAAGGCAACGAUGCGUAGCCGACCUGAGAGGGGGGGGCCGCCACAUGAGAUCUGAAACCGGCCCACGCCCCUCCGGGGAGAAGGAGGAGGGAAAUUUUGCGAAAGGGGGAAAGGCCAGGCGGAGCAGGGCCGGGGGAGGGAUGAAGGUUUUCGAACCUUAAAACUCUUUUAUGGGGAAAAAAAAAGUGUAAAAGAAACUGGUCACUUCUUGACGGUACAAAAUAAGAAACCCAGGGCUAGCUACGAG